rnacentral:piRNA from 1 species
UUCAUUCAUUCGAUGUAUUGAGAACCUACC